rnacentral:lncRNA from 1 species
CACUGUUUUUGUACUCCCCUUCUUUUUCCUUCUGCCAUGCACCGGGAACGGUCAUAGAUCUAAAACCAGCACACUGCGGUUAAUUAUUUUCCUGCAUCUAAGGCUAUGUUAGGUGAAAGGACAUAUAGCUUUUUUUUUUUUUAAAUAUAAGCUAGCGAUGUGGCAGUGGUGGGUCUGUAACGUUUCAUUUGUGACCUGCACAUAUUACACAGGAAGUGGCAUUCAGUGGUCGUGUAGCAGAGUCUGAAGAAAGUAUUCCUUCCUCUUAUGUGGAAAGUUUCUUUGAGGCUAGCGUUGAAUGAGUAAAGUACACCAUUUCUAAUGUACUUCUUGGCUGUCUGGAUUUCCUGUGAGGGUAGGAUGGAGGUGGUCAGAGCGUAUCUUGCAGCUUUGUUAAAGGGCUCUGUACCUAUACAUCACGGUAUUUAUUAACUUUGUCUACCUCACAAGGUAUUCUUACCAGGUGAGGAAAAACUCAACAGCAAGGUUUGCACUGCAGUAAAGUUGUUUCCCACAGGCCCAUACUGAAUUUGAUGAGCUCGACUUGUAGAGUGUGGACAUAACGAACAUCCAAGACUGCUGAAACAGUCUUUGUGCUUUUGUUCUUAGGUUAACAUCUUUGUCUCCCUCAGCAAUAAUUAACCUCCACUUUUUAAAAAACAUUGCUGGGGAAGUGAAUUUAGCUUUGUGCAGUAGCAUUUAGAUGUACAACAACCACAUUAUUGAAGCAGUUUGCAACGUAUUGUAUUGUUUAUAAUUAUUGUGUUGUGCUCACACGGCCUUGAAGAGUUCACAGAACAUAGACUUUGUAGUAUUUCUGUAGAACGCUGGAGUACUUUCUGCUUUAUUCAGAUGCCGUCGUGGUAACUUCAGUUUUUAGCCACAGCAGACAGGGGAAAUCCUCAGAAAAUAAACUCUCUUCCAAAGGAGUGCCUUUUCCCCGUUGUGUAAACAUGGCAUUCAUGAUGGUUUUUAACUCUGUAGGUCCAACUGUUCCUCUUCCCUGUAUGCAUUUAACUGCUUUGAAGCAAGAGAAUUUUAUGGUGCUCCAGAACUGAAAGUAUUUUUGCAUUUGAGGUAUACCGACGUUUGUAUAACAUUUAACAAUACACAAGGAUCACAUCACAUACUUUCGGAGAAAUGGCUUGCUUUACCUGAAGAAGAAAAUAAAGUUCAUAGGAAUUUAGAGAUCAUAAAAAGGUGCCCAGGGAUGUCUCAUAAAAACUAAAUCGGGUGAAAACUUGAAGGGAGAAAAUGAAAUGCAAGUGGAAACUGCCACGAGCUCCAUUCCAGCCAGCCUCUUGCACAGGAUGUUUUUGCAAUGAAUAAGAUACUUUUUCCAGAUUAAGUAGGAAAGACAUACUGAGAUAUCACAUAGAGUAAACCUUGAGUUUGUAUCGGAUUCAUCAUUGCUCCUGACAGUUUGUGAUGGCUUUCACAUGGUGUCCUAGAGGCUGAGCCUUCUAAUGUGGGAUCUGGUCUUCUCUGUUUUCCCUGUAUCCUAGGUAAAUACUCGAUGUGUUCAUGUCCUCUCCUCAAGUUCAAGCCUGCACAAGCAGACACAGACAAAGUCACUGAUAAAUUGUUAUGAAACCUUGGCUGUUGUGCAACCUUUAAUUCUGUUACAUCUCUGUGUUUUAAUCUUUGGA